rnacentral:lncRNA from 1 species
GGAACUAAGGAAGUUAGUUCUCACCCCCAUUUUACUACAGGUUCCAGUUCGGGUGUCCCCGGUGAGCGCGAGGAUCGCGGUAAGGGCCCGGCGUUUUAGUCGCAUUAGCUACCUUCCUUUUUGCACUAGCCGUCACCCUUUUAUAUUUGAGAGUAGAUGAUGUAUAGGGUGAGGUUCGAGUGAUGGUAUUUAUAUUUUGGAAGAAUGUAAAAGAUGUACUUGAAUGUAAUAAGUCAAAUGAAUGUAAUAGAUAGCUUUU